rnacentral:rRNA from 1 species
ACCAGACUCCUACGGGAGGCAGCAGUGGGGCCUCUUUGGCAAUGGUCGCCCGCCUGACCCAGCCCUGCCGCGUUCCUGCAGAAGGCCCUCUGGUUGUAAACUUCUUUUAUCAGGGACGCAGGAUGUGACUGUCCCUGAUGAAUCAGCUCCGGCUAACUACGUGCCAGCAGCCGCGGUAAUACGUAGGGAGCAAGCGUUAUCCGGAUUUACUGGGUGUAAAGGGCGCGUAGGCGGGAUGGCAAGUCAGAUGUGAAAUCCAGGGGCUCAACCCCUGAACUGCAUUUGAAACUGUCGUUCUUGAGUACUGGAGAGGUUGACGGAAUUCCUAGUGUAGCGGUGAAAUGCGUAGAUAUUAGGAGGAACACCAGUGGCGAAGGCGGUCAACUGGACAGCAACUGACGCUGAGGCUCGAAAGCGUGGGGAGCACACAGGAUUAGAUACCAUCGUAA